ACUGAUCGAUAUCUCGCUAAAAUAAUCAUUUUUUUAAACUAGCGGGGCAGUGAAAUCUUUGCUUUGUGCUAAAGUCAACAGUGACAGAGUUUGAGCUCAAAUAAAUGCCGCGAUGCCUCCAAGCUCUAUGCAGACGGCUGCAGGCGAGGCUCUUUAGUCGGUCUUCGGUUGCUUUCCAAUAUGCUGCACUUAUCAGGACAUGGCAGCACCUUGGGUGAAGAUACUGGCAGUAGAUAAGAGAUUAGGAAGGACCUGCUCCGUCCAUACAAUGUCCCCUCAGUGUGUGACUGUGACCGGCCCAUGGCACUGGCCAGGUCUGCACUGACUCCACACAAGAGAAUGGGACCGGGAUGGGACCUGUCGUCUACAGCCAUGGCCCCUACCACAGAGAGCACCAUGGGGGGACACGCAUACUGGGUUUCACCUGUCUCUGCCCACGCCUCUCCGUGAGCCGCUCUCCGAUGAGAUGAUGCCGCCAGCGGCCGCACGAAGGAGGGGAUUGUGUGCGGCGACAGUGGCGGCGGCGGUAACGGGGGCGGUGGGGUGUUGGGACAAAAGGAAGGCUGCCGUUAAUGAUCAACUGUGCUAAAAGCCCGGCUUUUGUAUUCCCAUGGUGCCCGGGCUAUCUGGUCGCCAUGUGACAAGCUCAGAGCUCUGUUCUUUUUUUCCCUCGUCCCUCCAUCACUCUCUCUCUCUCUCCCUCUCCCUCUCUCUCUCCCUCCAUCUCCUCCAGUGCAG